rnacentral:rRNA from 1 species
GGGUUGUGAGGUUAAGCGACUAAGCGUACACGGUGGAUGCCCUGGCAGUCAGAGGCGAUGAAGGACGUGCUAAUCUGCGAUAAGCGUCGGUAAGGUGAUAUGAACCGUUAUAACCGGCGAUUUCCGAAUGGGGAAACCCAGUGUGAUUCGUUACACUAUCAUUAACUGAAUCCAUAGGUUAAUGAGGCGAACCGGGGGAACUGAAACAUCUAAGUACCCCGAGGAAAAGAAAUCAACCGAGAUUCCCCCAGUAGCGGCGAGCGAACGGGGAGCAGCCCAGAGCCUGAAUCAGUGUGUGUGUUAGUGGAAGCGUCUGGAAAGGCGUGCGAUACAGGGUGACAGCCCCGUACACAAAAAUGCACAUAUUGUGAGCUCGAUGAGUAGGGCGGGACACGUGGUAUCCUGUCUGAAUAUGGGGGGACCAUCCUCCAAGGCUAAAUACUCCUGACUGACCGAUAGUGAACCAGUACCGUGAGGGAAAGGCGAAAAGAACCCCGGCGAGGGGAGUGAAAAAGAACCUGAAACCGUGUACGUACAAGCAGUGGGAGCACGCUUAGGCGUGUGACUGCGUACCUUUUGUAUAAUGGGUCAGCGACUUAUAUUCUGUAGCAAGGUUAACCGAAUAGGGGAGCCGAAGGGAAACCGAGUCUUAACUGGGCGUUAAGUUGCAGGGUAUAGACCCGAAACCCGGUGAUCUAGCCAUGGGCAGGUUGAAGGUUGGGUAACACUAACUGGAGGACCGAACCGACUAAUGUUGAAAAAUUAGCGGAUGACUUGUGGCUGGGGGUGAAAGGCCAAUCAAACCGGGAGAUAGCUGGUUCUCCCCGAAAGCUAUUUAGGUAGCGCCUCGUGAAUUCAUCUCCGGGGGUAGAGCACUGUUUCGGCAAGGGGGUCAUCCCGACUUACCAACCCGAUGCAAACUGCGAAUACCGGAGAAUGUUAUCACGGGAGACACACGGCGGGUGCUAACGUCCGUCGUGAAGAGGGAAACAACCCAGACCGCCAGCUAAGGUCCCAAAGUCAUGGUUAAGUGGGAAACGAUGUGGGAAGGCCCAGACAGCCAGGAUGUUGGCUUAGAAGCAGCCAUCAUUUAAAGAAAGCGUAAUAGCUCACUGGUCGAGUCGGCCUGCGCGGAAGAUGUAACGGGGCUAAACCAUGCACCGAAGCUGCGGCAGCGACGCUUAUGCGUUGUUGGGUAGGGGAGCGUUCUGUAAGCCUGUGAAGGUGUACUGUGAGG